rnacentral:lncRNA from 1 species
GUGUCUUUUUCAGAACUUCAAAUAAAAGGAUGACGAGGGGCGAUUUAGGAAAUUGUUGUUGUCGUCACGAGGACAUCAGGCCAAAGGUAACCGGGUGCAUGUGUUGUUUAUUAUUCGACCGUAUUUUGUUUAUUCCACAUGAAAUCCAUAUUAUUUAUAAGGACCAGCUAAAAUGAUGGCGCGACAAAUAGUAGCUGGGUAAAGGGAGGAAUCACGAAUAGACGACCUACUGCUUCUUGAUGGUGAUUGUAGAAUUUUUGGAGAAAAGAUGAUGAUGGACUAUCCACUUAUCUGCAAUCUCUCACUUUAAUUUUGAAUUAUUCAUAUCCAUAAUUAUUCUACUGAUGACAUGAUAAUCUUCAUGUAGUGGACCUCUAGGAACAAUGAAGUGAUAUUUGUAUGGAAAGUGUGUUGAUUCUGGAUGUCAGUGUUUUUCCUUCCGGUAUUUAGUUAUUUGUAGUGCUACUCUUAUUUAACUCAUGUGACCAUAUUAUUAACUUUCUGGUAAAUCUGAUAAUUCAUUUACAUUUUUCGAUAUAUAGGAAGCAUUUGUUGAUUACAUGAACAAGUAUCACACUGGAACAUUUGGGGCGUCAUAACAACCUUUAAGUACAUAACCCCGAUGAAUUUCGGUAGUUUGAACCCAGACAAUCAGUAAUACUACCUCCGUCUAGGUUAAUAAGUCAUUCGCGUAGUUCUAGGCCAUCGAUUUGAGGAAUUAAAUAUGUGUUAUAUGCCAUGAAAAGUAUAUCACUAGAUUUCUACAAGGAUGUAGUUUCUAAAUAUAUAUUUUUUGUCACAUAUAAUACAUAUUUCGAUAGUUAAAUCGUCGACCUAGAACUACGCGAAUGACUUAUUCACCGAGACGGAGGUAGUACUAGAUAUUGUGCUUCGAGAGUUUUUUUAAUGAUUGAUACCAAUUGAAAUUUUGUGGCAGAAUAGAGAGGCUGAGCGGCCCUUCAUUUUUACAUUAUAUAUUCCAUUUCACACCCCACUACCUCUCCUGAAACCAUACUGAUCACCCCUCUAAAUCAAUAUCUAGAACCAAUGAGAGUUCAUGCAGUAUGAUUUACUUUGUCUGUCCUUUUUUUUAGCUUAUUCAGCUUACAUGUCUGGAGAUGAGCAUAAGACAUUUUCCUGUGGUUUGUAUGGACUUUCACUUUGUGAUUUUUUGUGUUCUUAGCCAUUGUUCACCAUGUCCAAUUAUUGAGAGCUGGAAAACAUAAGUCAGGUGGCUUUUCUUGUCCAAGAUUUACUCUAUGGUCCAAUUAACUAUUUGCAGGCUCUACAGUAUACAACUUAUGUUUUCCCCUGUGGUGUUACAUCCUUUACUUGUGAAGAGGCAAAGGUGCACUCCUCUACAUGGGAGCAUGUGUACUUAUCCAGGUCACAAAUUCAUAUGCAGACUAGCUGUGGGUUAGAUUGUUAUGAGAAUUCUAUAUUUCUCUCAGUGCAUCUGCACAUAAAUUGCACCAUAGAUUUUUUUUUCUCUUCUUUUGGUAAGUUUAUUCUAUUUAAAUCACCCUGACACAUUGAAUUUGUGGUAAAAUUGUUAGUUUAUCCGAACCAUUUCAAUCUGCUCAACAAUUUUUCCCUUGGAAUCUGCUCAGCAUACAAAAGAUGAUGCUUAUAAGACCUCUUAUUUUAUCAUGUAUCUUCUCUAAAAUAUAAUGCCUUGUUUUAUCUGUUGUAUAUUUCGUUUGUCAGUCUAUUCUGCUUCUCUUAUAGUAUUACUUAGUGAAUAUUUGUUACUUUUCGUUAAAGGAGAAUUGUGAAGCCAACAAGAAUGCAGAAACUAGCUCAUAUGUUGCGAGGAAUCACAUACCUAAUAGCACAAUGCUAUCAUGAGAGUGGGUGUGCUCUCAUGAGGUAAUCCUAUCACGUGCCUUUUCAAUAGUAUGCAAAUAUUAGUUUCAGCAAGCGUGGAUGUAUUUUAACUUGUGUCGCUUCUCAAGGGACAUGCAUGGAGGGCCAGUGAGGUGCCAAGAUCUACCGGCCGCCCAUGGAACCUGUAUUGCCGUCCUCAGCCAUAUAUCAUAUUUCUAACACUUUCUUGUUCCAUUUUAAUCUUUUAGUUUUCUACCGUUCCAGUAGCAUCUCCAUGUAUCUGGAAGUAUUGGUAUUGAUGGUUGCAAUUGAUGAAAGGUGUCAACUAUUCUUGGUAUGUAUCAUCCGAGCAAAAAUUGACCAUUCUUUGACAACAACAGUUUUUCACUGCAUGUAUUGAACUUUGCU